CUUGCUUCUCUUGAGAGCGGCGGACGGGUGAGUAAUGCCUAGGAAUCUGCCUGGUAGUGGGGGAUAACGCUCGGAAACGGACGCUAAUACCGCAUACGUCCUACGGGAGAAAGCAGGGGACCUUCGGGCCUUGCGCUAUCAGAUGAGCCUAGGUCGGAUUAGCUAGUUGGUGAGGUAAUGGCUCACCAAGGCGACGAUCCGUAACUGGUCUGAGAGGAUGAUCAGUCACACUGGAACUGAGACACGGUCCAGACUCCUACGGGAGGCAGCAGUGGGGAAUAUUGGACAAUGGGCG
rnacentral:rRNA from 1 species